rnacentral:rRNA from 1 species
UACGUAGGGUGCAAGCGUUAAUCGGAAUUACUGGGCGUAAAGCGUGCGCAGGCGGCUUUGCAAGACAGAUGUGAAGUCCCCGGGCUCAACCUGGGAAUGGCAUUUGGGACUGCAAGGCUCGAGUGCGGCAGAGGAGACUGGAAUUCCUGGUGUAGCAGUGAAAUGCGUAGAUAUCAGGAGGAAUACCGAUGGCGAAGGCAGGUCUCUGGGCUGACACUGACGCUCAUGCACGAAAGCGUGGGGAGCAAACAGG